GUGGAUUAGAUACCCUGGUAGUCCACGCCUUAAACGAUGGGCACUAGGUGUCGGGAGUUCUUGCACUCUCGGUGCCGUAGCUAACGCGUUAAGUGCCCCGCCUGGGGAGUACGGUCGCAAGACUAAAACUCAAAGAAAUUGACGGGGGCCCGCACAAGCGGUGGAGGAUGUGGUUCAAUUCGAUGCAACGCGAAAAACCUUACCUGGGCUUGACAUACCGCGCUACCCUAUGAAAGUAGGGGUUCCCUUCGGGGACGCGGAUACAGGUGCUGCACGGUCGUCGACAACU
rnacentral:rRNA from 1 species